GAUGAACGCUAGCUACAGGCUUAACACAUGCAAGUCGAGGGGAAACGAUAUUGGAAGCUUGCUUCCGAUAGGCGUCGACCGGCGCACGGGUGAGUAACGCGUAUCCAACCUGCCCAUCACUUGGGGAUAACCUUGCGAAAGUAAGACUAAUACCCAAUGACGUCUCUAGAAGACAUCUGAAAGAGAUUAAAGAUUUAUCGGUGAUGGAUGGGGAUGCGUCUGAUUAGCUUGUUGGCGGGGUAACGGCCCACCAAGGCGACGAUCAGUAGCCGGACUGAGAGGUUGAACGGCCACAUUGGGACUGAGAUACGGCCCAGACUCCUACGGGAGGCAGCAGUGGGGAAUAUUGGGCAAUGGGCGCAAGCCUGACCCAGCAACGCCGCGUGAAGGAAGAAGGCUUUCGGGUUGUAAACUUCUUUUGUCAGGGACGAGUAGAAGACGGUACCUGACGAAUAAGCCACGGCUAACUACGUGCCAGCA
rnacentral:rRNA from 1 species